GCGGGUGUGGCGGAAUUGGUAGACGCACCAGAUUUAGGUUCUGGCGCCGCGAGGCGUGGGGGUUCAAGUCCCUCCACCCGCACCA
rnacentral:tRNA from 6 species